rnacentral:rRNA from 1 species
GUUGAACGCUGGCGGCAUGCCUUACACAUGCAAGUCGAACGGCAGCGGACCUUCGGGUGCCGGCGAGUGGCGAACGGGUGAGUAAUAUAUCGGAACGUACCUUUCAGUGGGGGAUAACGUAGCGAAAGUUACGCUAAUACCGCAUAUUCUGUGAGCAGGAAAGCAGGGGAUCGCAAGACCUUGCGCUGAUUGAGCGGCCGAUAUCAGAUUAGCUAGUUGGUGAGGUAAAGGCCCACCAAGGCGACGAUCUGUAGCGGGUCUGAGAGGAUGAUCCGCCACACUGGGACUGAGACACGGCCCAGACUCCUACGGGAGGCAGCAGUGGGGAAUUUUGGACAAUGGGCGCAAGCCUGAUCCAGCCAUGCCGCGUGCGGGACGAAGGCCUCGGUUGUAACGACUUUCAGCCGGAAAGAACUACGCCGUUUUAAUUACUAGACGGUGGAGUGACGGUACCGGAAGAAGAAGCACCGGCUAACUACGUGCCAGCAGCCGCGGU